CACCGCGAGGUGGAAUCUGAAAGAAGGUCUAGGCAAAUCCUCGGGCCGACGAACAGGAAGUGCAUACGAGGUCUUGCGGAACGGACGAGAUUGCGUCAGAAAUCGAAGUCCGACACUGCACGGAUUCCGCAGGAUAUAUGCAACGGCUGCACGAGGGGAAAGAUU
rnacentral:ncRNA from 1 species